rnacentral:rRNA from 1 species
AUACGUAGGGUGAGAGCGUUGUCCGGAAUUACUGGGCGUAAAGAGCUCGUAGGUGGUUUGUCGCGUCGUCUGUGACAUUCCGGGGCUUAACUCCGGGCGUGCAGGCGAUACGGGCAUAACUUGAGUACUGUAGGGGGGACUGGAAUUACUGGCGUAGCGGGGCAAUGCGCAGAUAUCAGGAGGAACACCGGUGGCGAAGGCGGGUCUCUGGGCAGUAACUGACGCUGAGGAGCGAAAGCAUGGGUAGCGAACAGGAUUAGAUACCCUGGUAGUCCAUGCCGUAAGCGGUGGGCGCUAGGUGUAGGGGUCUUCCACGACUUCUGUGCCGUAGCUAACGCAUUAAGCGCCCCGCCUGGGGAGUACGGCCGCAAGGCUAAAACUCAAAUGAAUUGACGGGG